UACGAAGGGGGCUAGCGUUGCUCGGAAUCACUGGGCGUAAAGCGCACGUAGGCGGAUUGUUAAGUUAGGGGUGAAAUCCCGGGGGCUCAACCCCGGGAACUGCCUUUAAUACUGGCAAUCUCGAGUCCGAGAGAGGUGAGUGGAAUUCCGAGUGUAGAGGUGAAAUUCGUAGAUAUUCGGAGGAACACCAGUGGCGAAGGCGGCUCACUGGCUCGGUACUGACGCUGAGGUGCGAAAGCGUGGGGAGCAAACAGG
rnacentral:rRNA from 1 species